GCAGACUCGGGAGGUGGGGGAUCCCAAGGCCGUCUUUCUUCCUGGGACAGAAUCCCAGAGCACAGAGCACCAUAAGGAAGGACGGGCUCACCUCUCCAUGACCACUUGAGUGCCAUCGAGUGCUGGUCACCCGCUUAGAAUCACAGGGAGCUACAGCAGAGGCCUCCAAUUCACAUUUGGAGAAACGGAGAGAGGCCCAUUGAAGGGAAAGAAAAAAAAAAAAAAAAAACCAUCCUCCCCCUGUUUGCUUCUUACAGCAGUUUUUGUUUAUCUCAUUAACUCGCAACCUGAAGAACAGGACCAUCUGGCAUGCGGGCAUGUUAACAAGAUCAUAAAUUAGGAGGAGAAAUGAAGCCAGAUUUCCAUAAUGGUCGCAAGACAGAAAUCAACAGCGCCGGGACGGAAUUUGCUGGGAAGGUAUUCCAUAUUUUCAAUAGACUUCACCACUGUCCCCUCGUUGACAUAUUUAAGUGAGAUGGCCACCUCAUUUGGAGCAGCCCCAAAUGCAGUGACAUCGAUCUCUCCUUGGGGACCAUUCCUGUUCUACCCAAGGUGCUAUACCCCCAUUUAGCUCCUCAGCUGGUGUAAAUUUGCACACACUGUGGACACCUCUGGGACGGGACCCCGAUUGCUGUGUUGUGUCCUUCCCAGCAAACCUUCCCCCUUUUCUGUCUUGUAGGUAACAGUGCAGGCAUCUAGCUCCUUCCUGGAACCCAUGUGGGGAGGACACUGAGAGGAAGCACAGCCCCGGGAAUAAUGCUUCCCAGACUCAGGGGAGUGCCUGGUAGACCAUGACCCUAUGAGUCUGGGUUGAACCCGGCCACGUUUGGCUUCUCUUGAUGUGCCUACCAUGGCUGCAUAUCCCCUGGAACAACUCCUAUUUAUUGUUUCCAGUUCCCACUCAUUCAUUCGAUAAACGUUGGUCUGCCAAUCCA